CCUAUAAUUAAAGUAGUUUUUCUCAACCGACCUGUGAAAAAAUCAAGGGACCAGAAGGGUUAUAAUAACAGGCAGAUGCGCACCACCUUUUUAUACCUAUUUAUGGAACGAAUAUUUAUUAUGUAACGUUGGUAAUUUGUAUGCAACAGUUUAGGAAAUUACCAGAAAAUAUUUUUGGAAGAUAAUUGGAUAAUUUAUAUUUUUAAUGGGCUACGUAAUCCGUUAAAAAAAAUCCCAUAGACCGUUCCCCACGUGAAAUCGAACUCAUUACCGUAUGAACAAAAAAGCUACCUUCGCCACAGAUGAGGGUAAAACAUUAGAUGAGCGAGAGCUAAGGUUAAGUAAGGCAUUGAUGGGGUCUCUCGUCUGGUGUAUGCAGAUGGUCCACAAAUCAAGUAUUGUUUGCUGGCGAGGAAGUAAAGGGUUGAUGGGUAGACUGGAAUCCCAUACCUGCCCACUGGUGCAUGAUGUAUUUGAAUAAGCGCUUCAUUGUGGAUUUGUAUCGAAUCUGCAUAUUUUUAACAUAUGUAUGCGUUCUGAGUGCACUGCGUACGAUCGUUAUCGCCGAUUUUAUGCGAUUUAAUGGAGCUUGUGAUAUUAUUUAAAACAUCCCAUUUUUAUUGUUGGCCUGCCCAUGAUGGCACUAAAUCAUGAAAACCCUUCACGGUUACCUAUUCAUGUCGACCUAUUCGAUUAGCUAAUAAAUCACUUGUUACUUUUA